rnacentral:rRNA from 1 species
CCUACGGGUGGCAGCAGUGAGGAAUAUUGGUCAAUGGACGGAAGUCUGAACCAGCCAUGCCGCGUGCAGGAAGACGGCUCUAUGAGUUGUAAACUGCUUUUGUACAAGAGUAAACCUGAAUACGUGUAUUCAGCUGAAAGUACUGUACGAAUAAGGAUCGGCUAACUCCGUGCCAGCUGCCGCGGUACUACUGAGGAUCCAAGCGUUAUUCGGAUUUAUUGGGUUUAAAGGGUGCGUAGGCGGAUUGAUAAGUUAGAGGUGAACUGUCCGAGCUUAACUCGGGAACUGCCUCUAAUACUGUCGAUCUCGAGAGUGGAUGAGGUAGGCGGAAUGUAUGGUGUAGCGGUGAAAUGCUUAGAGAUCAUACAGAACACCGAUUGCGAAGGCAGCUUACCAAUCUAUAUCUGACGUUGAGGCACGAAAGCGUGGGGAGCAAACAGGAUUAGAUACCCCAGUAGUC